UACGUAGGGUGCGAGCGUUUGUCCGGAUUUAUUGGGCGUAAAGAGCUCGUAGGCGGUUUGUCGCGUCUGCUGUGAAAACGCGAGGCUCAACCUCGCGCCUGCAGUGGGUACGGGCAGACUAGAGUGCGGUAGGGGAGAUUGGAAUUCUUGGUGUAGCAGUGAAAUGCGUAGAUAUCAAGAGGAACACCAGUGGCGAAGGCGAGUCCCUGGACAACUUCUGACGCUGGAGGAGCGAAAGCGUGGGGAGCGAACAGG
rnacentral:rRNA from 1 species